rnacentral:rRNA from 1 species
AGCACGUAGGUGGGUUUGUAAGUCAGACGUGAAAGCCUUCUGUUCAACGGAAGAAUUGCAUCUGAAACUACAAACCUUGAGUGUAGGAGGGGAGAAUGGAACUUCUGGAGGAGCGGUGAAAUGCGUAGAUAUCAGAAGGAACGCCGGCGGCGAAAGCGAUUCUCUGGCCUAUUACUGACACUCAGUGUGCGAAAGCUAGGGGAGCAAACGGGAUUAGAUACCCCGGUAGUCCUGGCCGUAAAUGAUGGGCACUAAGUAGAGGGG